AAAUUCACCAAUGUAAACAAAGCGUAAUCACUCCGUUUUAUCUUUUAGUAACUUCAUUCUCUUUCUAUAUAUAGUGGCUAGUUCAUCUGCGGAGUUUUUACUUCACUCUUCCAAAUCUUUCUUAUUUAAGUGUUCAACCCAUAAGAGGGUUCUUUUGCUGUUGCGCUCUCUUGGCAAGGAAGCAGCUGGCUCUGAAGAAGUUGAGGGCGCUGAUGGCAUGGGCAAAUGAGCCGGCUUCGUUGGGUGAGAUGGAACGGGGUUUUGAGAAUCCUGCAUUCCGUUGAUUGGAGGCUUACAACGUGGGCCAUGUUGGGGGGUUCAGAAAAAAAAUGUAGGAAAGCUAGCAGUUGGGUCUUAGCUUCACUAGUCUCCUAACAUUGAAGGAAACCCUAUUAAUUGUAAAUACAUAACUGACAUAGGUAACUAUUAAAAAUAGAAUCCCGUCUGAGUAAUCCUAAAAAUAA